rnacentral:rRNA from 1 species
GACGAACGCUGGCGGCGUGCUUAACACAUGCAAGUCGAACGAAGUGGCGAACGGGUGAGUAACGCGUACUCAACCUGCCCUUCAGAGGAGGCCAACAGUUAGAAACGACUGCUAAUACCGCCUACUGACGGAGGAGAUUGCGUCUGAUUAGCUAGUUGGAGGGGUACCGGCCCACCAAGGCGAUGAUCAGUAGCCGGUCUGAGAGGAUGAACGGCCACAUUGGGACUGAGACAACGCCCAGAAUUCUACGGGAGGCAGCAGUGGGGAAUCUUGCGCAAUGGACGAAAGUCCGACGGAGCAACGCCGGGUGAGUGAUGACGGCCGUCGGGUUGUAAAGCUCUGUUAAUCGGGACGCGGUACCGGAAUAGAAAGCCACGGCUAACUACGUGCCAGCAGCCGCGGUAAUUC